rnacentral:rRNA from 1 species
CUUGAAAGUUGACAGUUAUAGAAUCACUAUGUAGUACUAAUAUUAGUGAAGAAAAAUAAAAAAUAAUGCUUUUUGUUAAUUUAAGUGUCGUCCAAAAAACUGGUGCCAGAAGACUCGGUAAGGCCAGAGACGCUAACGAUAGUCAUCUUAAUCAGGCGUAAAGGAUAAGUAGGCAGCUUUAUAAAAAAAAUAAAGCUAGAAUCUAAUAGAAGUUGAACCAUAUAAUGCUUAGUUGAUGAUUAAAAUCUUUAGAACCUAAGUAGAAUACUAAUAGCGUAAGCUUAUCAACUAUUAAAGAUUGACGCUGAGGUAUGAAGGUUAGGAUAGUGACUUGGAUUAGAUACCCGAUUAACCCUAACUGUCAACAAUGAAUGGUCUUCAUUAGUGAAAAAAAAUAAAUCACUAAAUGUUUAAUGCUAACGCGAGUAACCAUUCCGCCUAGUGAAUACGACUGCAAAGUUAAAAACUAAAAAAUUAGUCGUCUCGAAGCAAUGGAAGUUC